rnacentral:rRNA from 1 species
GGGUUGUGAGGUUAAGCGACUAAGCGUACACGGUGGAUGCCCUGGCAGUCAGAGGCGAUGAAGGGCGUGCUAAUCUGCGAUAAGCGCCGGUAAGGUGAUAUGAACCGUUAUAACCGGCGAUACCCGAAUGGGGAAACCCAGUGUGAUUCGUCACACUAUCAUUAACUGAAUCCAUAGGUUAAUGAGGCGAACCGGGGGAACUGAAACAUCUAAGUACCCCGAGGAAAAGAAAUCAACCGAGAUUCCCCCAGUAGCGGCGAGCGAACGGGGAGGAGCCCAGAGCCUGAAUCAGCAUGUGUGUUAGUGGAAGCGUCUGGAAAGGCGCGCGAUACAGGGUGACAGCCCCGUACACAAAAGCGCAUGUGCUGUGAGCUCGAUGAGUAGGGCGGGACACGUGGUAUCCUGUCUGAAUAUGGGGGGACCAUCCUCCAAGGCUAAAUACUCCUGACUGACCGAUAGUGAACCAGUACCGUGAGGGAAAGGCGAAAAGAACCCCGGCGAGGGGAGUGAAAAAGAACCUGAAACCGUGUACGUACAAGCAGUGGGAGCCCCACCACCAAAGCAUUCUCUGGUGUUGAAGGCCCUGCAAAGCAGCAUCGCGGUGGCGGAGCGUCGUUUGCGACGCCCAACACACAAAACAAGCGGUGAAUGCUUUGGGGUGGGGUGACUGCGUACCUUUUGUAUAAUGGGUCAGCGACUUAUAUUCUGUAGCAAGGUUAACCGAAUAGGGGAGCCGGAGGGAAACCGAGUCUUAAUUGGGCGUUAAGUUGCAGGGUAUAGACCCGAAACCCGGUGAUCUAGCCAUGGGCAGGUUGAAGGUUGGGUAACACUAACUGGAGGACCGAACCGACUAAUGUUGAAAAAUUAGCGGAUGACCUGUGGCUGGGGGUGAAAGGCCAAUCAAACCGGGAGAUAGCUGGUUCUCCCCGAAAGCUAUUUAGGUAGCGCCUCGUGAAUUCAUCUCCGGGGGUAGAGCACUGUUUCGGCUAGGGGGCCAUCCCGGCUUACCAACCCGAUGCAAACUGCGAAUACCGGAGAAUGUUAUCACGGGAGACACACGGCGGGUGCUAACGUCCGUCGUGAAGAGGGAAACAACCCAGACCGCCAGCUAAGGUCCCAAAGUCAUGGUUAAGUGGGAAACGAUGUGGGAAGGCCCAGACAGCCAGGAUGUUGGCUUAGAAGCAGCCAUCAUUUAAAGAAAGCGUAAUAGCUCACUGGUCGAGUCGGCCUGCGCGGAAGAUGUAACGGGGCUAAACCAUGCACCGAAGCUGCGGCAGCGAACGUAUCACCCAAGACAACUUUACGGAGUUGACGAUUGACGGAGCGAAGCGACGUCAAAGCGUUCAUUAAAGUCGAGUUGGCUUAGGGAUACGUUCGUUGGGUAGGGGAGCGUUCUGUAAGCCUGUGAAGGUGUGUCGUGAGGCAUGCUGGAGGUAUCAGAAGUGCGAAUGCUGACAUAAGUAACGAUAAAGCGGGUGAAAAGCCCGCUCGCCGGAAGACCAAGGGUUCCUGUCCAACGUUAAUCGGGGCAGGGUGAGUCGACCCCUAAGGCGAGGCCGAAAGGCGUAGUCGAUGGGAAACGGGUUAAUAUUCCCGUACUUGGUGUUACUGCGAAGGGGGGACGGAGAAGGCUAUGUUGGCCGGGCGACGGUUGUCCCGGUUUAAGCGUGUAGGUGUGUGUUCCAGGUAAAUCCGGUUCACUUUAACACUGAGGCGUGACGACGAGGCACUACGGUGCUGAAGCAACAAAUGCCCUGCUUCCAGGAAAAGCCUCUAAGCAUCAGGUAACACGAAAUCGUACCCCAAACCGACACAGGUGGUCAGGUAGAGAAUACCAAGGCGCUUGAGAGAACUCGGGUGAAGGAACUAGGCAAAAUGGUGCCGUAACUUCGGGAGAAGGCACGCUGACACGUAGGUGAAGUGAUUUACUCAUGGAGCUGAAGUCAGUCGAAGAUACCAGCUGGCUGCAACUGUUUAUUAAAAACACAGCACUGUGCAAACACGAAAGUGGACGUAUACGGUGUGACGCCUGCCCGGUGCCGGAAGGUUAAUUGAUGGGGUCAGCGCAAGCGAAGCUCCUGAUCGAAGCCCCGGUAAACGGCGGCCGUAACUAUAACGGUCCUAAGGUAGCGAAAUUCCUUGUCGGGUAAGUUCCGACCUGCACGAAUGGCGUAAUGAUGGCCAGGCUGUCUCCACCCGAGACUCAGUGAAAUUGAACUCGCUGUGAAGAUGCAGUGUACCCGCGGCAAGACGGAAAGACCCCGUGAACCUUUACUAUAGCUUGACACUGAACAUUGAGCCUUGAUGUGUAGGAUAGGUGGGAGGCUUUGAAGUGUGGACGCCAGUCUGCAUGGAGCCGACCUUGAAAUACCACCCUUUAAUGUUUGAUGUUCUAACGUGGACCCGUAAUCCGGGUUGCGGACAGUGUCUGGUGGGUAGUUUGACUGGGGCGGUCUCCUCCUAAAGAGUAACGGAGGAGCACGAAGGUUGGCUAAUCCUGGUCGGACAUCAGGAGGUUAGUGCAAUGGCAUAAGCCAGCUUGACUGCGAGCGUGACGGCGCGAGCAGGUGCGAAAGCAGGUCAUAGUGAUCCGGUGGUUCUGAAUGGAAGGGCCAUCGCUCAACGGAUAAAAGGUACUCCGGGGAUAACAGGCUGAUACCGCCCAAGAGUUCAUAUCGACGGCGGUGUUUGGCACCUCGAUGUCGGCUCAUCACAUCCUGGGGCUGAAGUAGGUCCCAAGGGUAUGGCUGUUCGCCAUUUAAAGUGGUACGCGAGCUGGGUUUAGAACGUCGUGAGACAGUUCGGUCCCUAUCUGCCGUGGGCGCUGGAGAACUGAGGGGGGCUGCUCCUAGUACGAGAGGACCGGAGUGGACGCAUCACUGGUGUUCGGGUUGUCAUGCCAAUGGCACUGCCCGGUAGCUAAAUGCGGAAGAGAUAAGUGCUGAAAGCAUCUAAGCACGAAACUUGCCCCGAGAUGAGUUCUCCCUGAGACUUAGAGUCUCCUGAAGGAACGUUGAAGACGACGACGUUGAUAGGCCGGGUGUGUAAGCGCAGCGAUGCGUUGAGCUAACCGGUACUAAUGAACCGUGAGGCUUAACCUUACAACGCCGAAG